UGAUGAUUAUGAUACAAACAACAACAGUACUACUUGCAGUAGUGGCAUCACAUCACUUCUUGAGGACUUGAGCAUUUGGAAUUGUCGAUCCCUUGAAUCCUUAACAUCAAGUGGGGAAUUACCUACCACACUUCAAGGCUUCUUUAUUUCUAAAUGUCCGAAGCUGGAGUCAGUAGCCAAGAGUUUUCAUCAUAACUCAUUUCUUACAAAUAUCGAGAUCUGCUAUUGUGAAAAUCUUCAAUUGUUGAAUGGUGGAGAGUUGCUACUCCCUUCCAACCUGAGAGAGCUUUCUAUAUCUGACUGUGAGAAAAUAUUUAAUUGUCCGAGCAUUUUAUCAUUUCUCAAAGAAGGUUUUCCCACAAACCUAACAGCACUUGACAUCUCUCAUCCUAAAAUCACUGAAGCCUUGUUCGAUUGGGGGUUGGACAACCUCACUUGCCUAAAUCAUCUUGGAAUUGUUGGAUGUCAGCAUCUGGCGUCCUUUCCAGAGAUGACGUUGCCUGCCUCUCUAACAAGCCUCGGCAUCUCAAAAUUCCCAAAUCUGGAAUGCCUGUCUUCCGAGGGCUUCAGAAAACUUACCUCUCUUAAAACACUCAUGAUUGAUGACUGCAAGAAGCUCACGUGUUUUCCAACGAAUGGCUUACCUUCCUCACUACAACGACUUCUAAUCGAUGAAUGUCCUCUGCUUGAAGAACGCUGCAAGAAAGAUCAGAGAGGAGAGUGGCGCAAGAUAGCUGACAUCCCUUGUGUUGAAAUUAAUGGCAGAUACAUUUAUGACACAGAAACGGAGGAAUAAAUCCAAAGAUUGUUCAAAAGACUGACACAAGUUGUUGCAACUUCCGACUGCCAUCUGAAAACUGGAUGUGCAAAGACCCAAAAUUGAGGCCCACGUUUGCUGAGAUCAUGGCUGCUUUGAAGCCGUUGGAGAAGCCAAUAACCAGUUCUCAAGUUCCCAGGCCAAGCACAUUCACAGGCAGUGGUCGUCAGAAGCCUCUGCCAUUACAAAUUGCAGAAGAAGCAGGCUAGAAGAGCGAACUAUACCAUCAUACUCUCUGUCAUUGGAUUGCAAAAAUAUGGGGUGAAGUUCUA